AGAGACAGCUCUUGAGUGGAUCCUGAGUACGACGGAGCACGUGAAAUUCCGUCGGAAUCUGGGAGGACCAUCUCCUAAGGCUAAAUACUCUCUAGUGACCGAUAGUGAACCAGUACCGUGAGGGAAAGGUGAAAAGCACCCCGGAAGGGGAGUGAAAUAGAACCUGAAACCGUGUGCUUACAAGUAGUCAGAGCCCGUUAAUGGGUGAUGGCGUGCCUUUUGUAGAAUGAACCGGCGAGUUACGAUUUGAUGCAAGGUUAAGCAGUAAAUGUGGAGCCGUAGCGAAAGCGAGUCUGAAUAGGGCGUUUAGUAUUUGGUCGUAGACCCGAAACCAGGUGAUCUACCCUUGGUCAGGUUGAAGUUCAGGUAACACUGAAUGGAGGACCGAACCGACUUACGUUGAAAAGUGAGCGGAUGAACUGAGGGUAGCGGAGAAAUUCCAAUCGAACCUGGAGAUAGCUGGUUCUCUCCGAAAUAGCUUUAGGGCUAGCCUCAAGUGAUGAUUAUUGGAGGUAGAGCACUGUUUGGACGAGGGGCCCCUCUCGGGUUACCGAAUUCAGACAAACUCCGAAUGCCAAUUAAUUUAACUUGGGAGUCAGAACAUGGGUGAUAAGGUCCGUGUUCGAAAGGGAAACAGCCCAGACCACCAGCUAAGGUCCCAAAAUAUAUGUUAAGUGGAAAAGGAUGUGGCGUUGCCCAGACAACUAGGAUGUUGGCU
rnacentral:rRNA from 1 species